GCCAGCAUGGCACGGUGGUUUGAGUGUUGGACUAUGACUCUGGAGAACUGGGUUCAAUUCCCAGCUUAGCCA